AGGCCCUUCCACCUGUGUCAGGCUGAGGCCAGCUGAUGGGGCAGGACAGUCCUCAGGCUUGAAUAUCCUGUUUUUCCCUCAGCCACUGCUGUUUGAGUUGGUUGUAACGCCUGGUGCAUUGGGCCUGUGUCAACCCGGAACAGCACAAGACACUCAGCAGGUGUCCACUUGGCCCGAAGCUGGGAAGAACUGACAGAUAGCCCAGGGGCAUCCUGGGUCUCUGCCCACUCUGCUCACCACCUGCAACUUAGCAAGGACCUGCUGGGGCUGUCCUCAACAUGUGACCGGUGUCAAGGAUGGGAUGAGACCUCUGGUUCCCAGAGCUGGAUUUUCCUCAUGCCAGCCAUGGCUCUACCAUUAGGGCACAGAGCAGGAGGCAUCAGGCAGAAGGUGACAGCCAGGUCCCCAGAGCUCAGUCCAUUUGAACCCUGCUGCGGCUUUUCCUGUGGCCUUGGACCAGCCAUCAGACCCCCUUCCCUGCUACCUGGCACUGACUUCCCCAAACAUCUUAGCCACUCUUCUGCCAGUUGGGGGGCACAGAGCCAAGGGCUGUGCUGCAGUCUUGUGAAGGGAGGCUUCCCACCCCAGGACCACAGCCCAGGGGCUGGGCAUGAGUUGGCAACCUCAGACCUGGCAUUGGCCCCAGGCCUCAGUUGCCUCAUCUGUAAAAUGGGGAGUAUUUCCAAAGCCUUCGGUGGGGUGGAAGACCCAAAAAUGAACAAAGAGAUGAAAUAGGACUAAAUCCUAGGAUGUGAGUGUCUCCAGUUCCUGGACCCUGGAAAAGCAGAAUUUCAGAACCCAAGACCAGAGAACUGAGGCUCAGACAAAAUGUCAAGCAAAUUGUCCAAGGCCAGCAGGAGAGUUGAGAUUCCAGCCCAGGGCUGUGUGACUUUGUUCCCCUCCCACUGCCUCUGGACACCCAUCCUGGAAUGAGAAAGUCCGUGCCUAGAGGUGUCUCGCAGUGAAGUCCCAAAGCAAGGCACAGGCUACCCCAUCUGCCCGGCGGACUUGCUGGCGAUUUGCUGGAGGGAAUCCAGCCUAUUU